rnacentral:rRNA from 1 species
GGUUUGAUCAUGGUUCAGAUUGAACGCUGGCAGGAUGUCUUUACACAUGCAAGUCGAACGGCAGCACGGACUUCGGUCUGGUGGCGAGUAGCGAACAGGUGAGUAAUGUAUCGGAACGUGCCUAGUAGCGGAGGAUAACCGCGAAAGCGCUAAUACCGCAUACGCCCUUCAGGGAAAGCAGGGGACCUUCGGGCCUCGCACUAUUAGAGCGGCCGAUAUCGGAUUAGCUAGUUAUUGGUGGGGUAACGGCUCACCAAGGCGACGAUCAUGGCGUUUGAGAGGGACGACCAGCCACGCAGGACGAGGCGGGCCAGACUCCUACGGGAGGCAGCAGUGGGGAAUUUUGGACAAUGGGGAAACCCUGAUCAGCCAUCCCGCUGUGCGUCAAAGCUGGGUUGUAAAGCCGCACGAGAAAAGCAGCACGGGAUAAUACCCCGUGCCCAACAAUGUUCACCAGAAUAACUUUCAGCUAACAGCUAGCCAUGAUGUGUGAAGUCCCUAAGCGUUAAUCGGUCCCUGGGCGUAAAGCGACACCGACGGACAGAAGGUCUGAAAUCCCAGGCUUAACUUUGGAACUGCAUUUAACUACCGAGCUAGAGUGUGUCAGAGGAGGUGGAAUUCCAUGUAGCAGUGAAAGUAGUAGAUAUGCAGGAAGACACCAUUGGCGAAGGCGGCAUUUCUGGGACCAACACUGACGCUCGUAAAAGCGUGGAGCAAACAGGAUUAGAUGCCUGGUACGAUUCCGCCUAAACAUGUCAACUAGCUGUUUCGGACGCUAAGAUGGUGACGCAGCUAACGCGUGAAGUUGACCGCCUGGGGAGUACGGUCUUGAGUUCCGACUCCAAAAAAUUGUGGGGACCACUGGCGGAGCUGGAUGAUGUGGAUUAAUUCGAUGCAACGCAGCCUUACCCUGCCCAUGACAUGUCUGGAAUCCCGAAGAUUUGGGGUAUAUAGAGAACCGGAACACAGGUGCUGCAUGGUAUCGUCAGCUCGUGUCGUGAGAUGUUGGGUUCAAGUCCCACAACGAGCACAGCCCAUCAUUAGUUGCUACGAAGGCACUCAUGAGACUGCCGGUGGUCGACAAACCGGAGGAAGGUGGGGAUGACGUCAAGUCCUCAUCAGCCCGCCUGGUGGGGCUUCACGUCAUACAAUGGUCGGGACAGAGGUCACCAGCCAUGAGGGGGAACCAAUCCCAGAAACGAUCGUAGUCGGAUCCAUGAUCUGCAACUCGAACUGCGUGAAGUCGAGUCGCUAGUAAUCGCGAGUCAGCAUGUCGCGGUGAAUGCAUUUCCCGGGUCUUGUACACACCGCCCGUCACACCAUGGGAGUGGGUUUUACCGGAAAGUAGUUAGCCUAACCCGUAAGGAGGGCGAUUACCACGGUAAGUUGAAGAGCUGGGGUGAAGUCGUAACAAGGUAA